UCCUACGGGAGGCAGCAGUGGGGAAUAUUGCACAAUGGGCGAAAGCCUGAUGCAGCGACGCCGCGUGGGGGAUGACGGUCUUCGGAUUGUAAACUCCUUUCAGUAGGGACGAAGCGAAAGUGACGGUACCUGCAGAAGAAGCACCGGCCAACUACGUGCCAGCAGCCGCGGUAAUACGUAGGGUGCAAGCGUUGUCCGGAAUUACUGGGCGUAAAGAGCUCGUAGGCGGUUUGUCACGUCGUCUGUGAAAUCCUCCAGCUCAACUGGGGGCGUGCAGGCGAUACGGGCAGACUUGAGUACUACAGGGGAGACUGGAAUUCCUGGUGUAGCGGUGAAAUGCGCAGAUAUCAGGAGGAACACCGGUGGCGAAGGCGGGUCUCUGGGUAGUAACUGACGCUGAGGAGCGAAAGCAUGGGGAGCAAACAGGAUUAGAUACCCUGGUAGUCCAUGCCGUAAACGGUGGGCGCUAGGUGUGGGGUCCUUCCACGGAUUCCGUGCCGUAGCUAACGCAUUAAGCGCCCCGCCUGGGGAGUACGGCC
rnacentral:rRNA from 1 species